CACGUAGGGUGCGAGCGUUGUCCGGAAUUAUUGGGCGUAAAGAGCUCGUAGGCGGUGUGUCGCGUCGGCCGUGAAAACCUGCAGCUUAACUGUGGGCUUGCGGUCGAUACGGGCAUCACUGGAGUUCGGCAGGGGAGACUGGAAUUCCUGGUGUAGCGGUGAAAUGCGUAGAUAUCAGGAAGAACACCGGUGGCGAAGGCGGCCCUCUGGACGGAUACUGACGCUGAGACGCGAAAGCGUGGGGAGCAAACAGG
rnacentral:rRNA from 1 species